rnacentral:rRNA from 1 species
CAAGUCGAGGGGCAGCGGUGGUGAAGGCUUGCCUUUACCAGCCGGCGACCGGCGCACGGGUGAGUAACACGUAUGCAACCUGCCUGCCACAGCCGGAUAAUCGGGAGAAAUUCCGUCUAAUACGGCAUAAUGCACCUAUGGGACAUCCUGUUGGUGCCAAAGGUUAAUUCCGGUGGCGGAUGGGCAUGCGUCGCAUUAGUUAGUUGGCGGUGUAACGGACCACCAAGACGACGAUGCGUAGGGGUUCUGAGAGGAAGGUCCCCCACACUGGCGCUGAGACACGGACCAGACUCCUACGGGAGGCAGCAGUGAGGAAUAUUGGUCAAUGGGCGGGAGCCUGAACCAGCCAAGUCGCGUGAGGGAUGACGGCCCUAUGGGUUGUAAACCUCUUUUGCCGGGGAGCAAAGUGCCGCACGUGUGCGGUUUGGAGAGUACCCGGAGAAAAAGCAUCGGCUAACUCCGUGCCAGCAGCCGCGGUAAUACGGAGGAUGCGAGCGUUAUCCGGAUUUAUUGGGUUUAAAGGGUGCGUAGGCGGACGCUUAAGUCAGCGGUAA